GACGAACGCUGGCGGCGUGCUUAACACAUGCAAGUCGAGCGGGGCGGCGAACGGGGGAGUAACGCGUGAAUAACUGACCCCCUCUCUGGGAUAACAGUUGGAAACGGCUGCCAAUACCGGUAAGUGGGGGAUGACUUGCGUCCUAUCAGCUUGUUGGUGGGGUAGUGGCCUACCAAGGCGACGACCGGUUGCCGGCCGGAGAGGGGUACCGGCCACAUUGGGCUGGUGAACGGGCCCAACUCCUUCGGGAGGCCGGCGUGGGGGAUAUUGCCCAAUGGGGGAAAACCCGAUGGAGCAAGGCGCGGGCGGGAUGAAGGGCUUUGGGUUGUUAAAACCUUUUUAUCGGGACGGCGAAUAGGGCGAGGAUUUGACGGUACCGAAAUAGAAAGCCACGGCUAACUACGUGCCAGCAGCCGCGGUAAUAC
rnacentral:rRNA from 1 species